rnacentral:rRNA from 1 species
AACGAACGCUGGCGGCAUGCCUAACACAUGCAAGUCGAACGAGACCUUCGGGUCUAGUGGCGCACGGGUGCGUAACGCGUGGGAACCUGCCCUUAGGUUCGGAAUAACUCCCCGAAAGGGGUGCUAAUACCGGAUAAUGUCUUCGGACCAAAGAUUUAUUGCCUUUGGAUGGGCCCGCGUUGGAUUAGCUAGUUGGUAGGGUAAAAGCCUACCAAGGCGACGAUCCAUAGCUGGUCUGAGAGGAGGAUCAGCCACACUGGGACUGAGACACGGCCCAGACUCCUACGGGGGGCAGCAGUGGGGAAUAUUAGACGAGGAGCGAAAGCCUGAUCCAGCAAUGCCGCGUAAGUGAUGAAGGCCUUAGGGUUGUAAAGCUCUUUUACCCGAGAUGAUAAUGACAGUACCGGGAGAAUAAGCACCGGCUAACUCCGUG